rnacentral:rRNA from 1 species
UACGUAGGGUGCAAGCGUUAUCCGGAAUUAUUGGGCGUAAAGAGCUCGUAGGCGGUUUGUCGCGUCUGCUGUGAAAACCCGAGGCUCAACCUCGGGCCUGCAGUGGGUACGGGCAGACUAGAGUGCGGUAGGGGAGAUUGGAAUUCCUGGUGUAGCGGUGGAAUGCGCAGAUAUCAGGAGGAACACCGGUGGCGAAGGCGGGUCUCUGGGCCGAUACUGACGCUGAGGAGCGAAAGCGUGGGGAGCGAACCGG